rnacentral:rRNA from 1 species
CACGUAGGGCGCGAGCGUUGUCCGGAAUUAUUGGGCGUAAAGAGCUCGUAGGCGGCCUGUUGCGUCCGCUGUGAAAGCCCGGGGGCUUAACCCCGGGUCGGCAGUGGAUACGGGCAGGCUAGAGGUAGGUAGGGGAGAAUGGAAUUCCCGGUGUAGCGGUGAAAUGCGCAGAUAUCAGGAGGAACACCUGUGGUGUAGACAGCUUACUGGACCAUUUCUGACGCUGAGACACGAAAGCGUGGGUAGCAAACAGG